rnacentral:rRNA from 1 species
GCUAAUACCGAAUGUGCCCUUCGGGGGAAAGAUUUAUCGCCUUUAGAGCGGCCCGCGUCUGAUUAGCUAGUUGGUGGGGUAAUGGCCCACCAAGGCUACGAUCAGUAGCUGGUCUGAGAGGAUGACCAGCCACAUUGGGACUGAGACACGGCCCAAACUCCUACGGGAGGCAGCAGUGGGGAAUCUUGCGCAAUGGGCGAAAGCCUGACGCAGCCAUGCCGCGUGUAUGAUGAAGGUCUUAGGAUUGUAAAAUACUUUCACCGGUGAAGAUAAUGACUGUAGCCGGAGAAGAAGCCCCGGCUAACUUCG